rnacentral:rRNA from 1 species
UGGGGAAUAUUGCACAAUGGGGGGAACCCUGAUGCAGCGACGCCGCGUGGGUGAAGAAGUAUUUCGGUAUGUAAAGCCCUGUCAGCAGGGAAGAAGAAUGACGGUACCUGACCAAGAAGCACCGGCUAAAUACGUGCCAGCAGCCGCGGUAAUACGUAUGGUGCAAGCGUUAUCCGGAUUUACUGGGUGUAAAGGGAGCGCAGGCGGCGCGUUAAGUCUGAUGUGAAAACCCGCGGCUCAACUGUGGGACUGCAUUGGAAACUGGCGGGCUUGAGUGCCGGAGAGGCAAGCGGAAUUCCUAGU